ACACCAGAUGUGGCAGUUACAUGUCACUCAGGCAGCAAGCGAAGGUGUCCUUGACACCCGUGGUAUAGCCAUGGCUAUACCACGAUAAUUUUUU
rnacentral:ncRNA from 1 species